AGUGCUCAAUUCAGAUAAAAUUAACGUAUACAAGAACAUAUAAAAUUAAGGAUCUGCCCUGUUUGGUUAUAAUUUAGCAUAUACAAGAACCUAUGUACUUUAGCUUAAAGUUAGGGAUCUUCCCUGCUUGGUUAUACAAUACCAUAGACAAGAACCUACUGAGUUCCACGCUACAAGAAACUGUUUAACCUUGCCUUGCAAUUUAAGUUCCAAUAGCGCUAACCGUAAACAGCAAGAUCGGUCGCACAUCAAGCCAUUUCACGGUUUGGCUGAGCGUUUGGAAUUGUGCAAAUCGUACAUGUCUUUUGAUAUGUAAAUGCAUGUGUAAGGUACAGCUAAUUUUAUUUUGCAAAAUGUUUAAUAAGUAAUUACUACCAAUUGGUCAUUGAAUAAGAAAGAUUUAUUAUCUUGAAGUAAAUAGUAAAUCAAUAACAUCAACGAACCACGUCUCUCACACGAUGGACAAUUGCACGGUUCUACGGAAAAGUGCAUAUCUACUUUUCUAUCCGAGAUAAACAAAUAGGAAAAUGACAAAAUUUUUUUAUUAUCAUUAUUUAAUUUGUAUUUUACAAUUUGCCCAGCUGAACAUUCGGUAAAUUUUUCUAGCUUAAUUGCUAAAUAACAUGUGCUACUCCAGCGGGAUACCAUAUUCCAGUUUGACUAUUUUAUUUCCAUAGUGAGGUCAAUGGGGUGUUUUCUUUUUAAUCCUCUUUUCAUGAGAGUUUUGCUCGCUUCAACAGCCAGCUAGUUUGGAUGUGCUGUCGUUUUUUCCUUGUAUUUUUUUGGGUACCUGCCAAUUUCUUCUUUGACCGUUGGUAUUUUUAAGUCUUUUCGUAUAUCCUAAUGACAAAAUUGCGGAAUAGUGAAACUAAUUGUAAGUUGCCUAAGAAGGAGAAAUUAAUUGUUUACUAUAUUUUUGUAGACGAGAAAAGAGAAAAUUCUUUUUCAAACGAUCAGUAGAGUGAUACAAUAAUUUUUAUAUUUUUCCGAACACCAUUUAAAUUUAACAUUAAUCCUCAGCACUUGGCAUGUCAAUUGUACUGGCAUGAAUAUUUUUUCAUUGUCGCAUGGAACUAUAUCCUAUAUCGUUUUCCUUAGUAUGUACGAUGGUGUUUGUUAAGGCAAAUUCAACGACAUUGUAUAUGAGCUCAUUUAUUGUUGUAAAAUGUUAUAAAUUAAUCAGUUUAUAAGGAAUUAAGUGAGCCAGACUCACUAGCUACUGGCUAUUAGAUUGCAGUAAACGCUGUAAACAAAUAUCGAAACCAACUUCUCAAAUUACCAAAUAUUACUGAAUCAUGAAAACUGACUUUAGUUGACAUACUUUAGACGAAUAAAAAUUGUAGAUGUUAAAAAUACCUAUCAAAUAAGAUGUCACAUGUUAAGAUUGGUAAAUUCGUCGACUCAUAAAUAAUAAAAACUGUCCAAAAUCGCACUAUUUCAAUUACCAACUAUUGAAAUUGAGAAUGCGAAGUUGAAAGUUAAUGAAAAUGUAGUUCUUGUCAGAUGUAUGAAAAUGUGAAUUUCGAAUGUCUGGGAUAACCGCCUGACUUUCGUCAUCCUUCACUGUAGAAAGAGAAAACGUCAACACUUGAAGGUUUUGACAAAGUGAACCAUGAAAGCCCCUUACAAACAAUCAAAAAACAUUUCCCGGAACAAAUCCAUCACUUACUCAAAUCAUACUUAAACAACAGAACCUUUGUAAUAAAAAUAAAAGAUGUAUAUUCUCAAGUAAAAGACAUCAAGGCACGGGUACCGCAAGGAAGCGUCUUAUGACCAAUGUUAUGCACACUCUACACGGUCGACAUACCAACAACUAUCAACAGCAAGAUACUGACAUUCGCGGACGAUACAGCCGUACUAGUCAGACACACUAACCUAGAAACGGCAGUCAAAUCACUACAAGAACAUAUCACAAAAAUAGAAAAGUGGCUGCAAGAUAAACAAAUAAAAGCAAACCCCUAGGUAUUUGACUUGCCUUCUUUGCGAUAUAUGCGUGCCGUUCAGUAGGAUGUUUGGUGGUGUCUGUUUUCGCAGUGUGAAUGUAGUAUGGUUGCAUUUAUCGGGGUUUGCUUUUAUUUGUUUAUCUUGCAGCCACUUUUCUAUUUUUGUGAUAUGUUCUUGUAGUGAUUUGACUGCUGUUUCUAGGUUAGUGUGCCUGACUAGUACGGCUGUGUCGUCCGCGAAUGUCAGUAUUUUGCUAUUGGUAGUUGUUGGUAUGUUGGCCGUGUAUAGCGUGAAUAGUAUUGGUCCUAAGACGCUUCCUUGCGGAACCCCUGCCUUGAUGUCUUUGACUUCAGAGUAUGUAUCCUUGAUUUUUAUUACGAAGGUUCUGCUGCUUAAGUAAGAUUUUAUUAAUUGGUAUGUUUGCUCCGGGAAUUGUUUCCUGAUUGUUUGCAGUAGGCUUUCGUGGUUUAUUUUGUCAAAUGCUAUGUCCAUACAGAGGGCUGUACAGUAUUGUUUGUUUUCUAAUGCUAGUAUUAUUUCGUUGAUGAGCCUGUGCAUUUCCUCUAUAGUGGAAUGUUUGUUUCUGAAUCCGAAUUGGUGAUCUGGUAUUAAUUUUUCCUACUCCAUUAUUGGUUUUAUGCGGUCGUAUAUUAUUUUCUCUAGUAUUUUGGAAAAUACGGGAAGUAGUGCUAUUGGUCUGUAAAAUGUAGUUUCGUGUGAGUCUUUGCCUGGUUUAGGUAACAUUAUAACCUGUGCCAAUUUAGAUAGUUUAGGAAAGUAUUGAAUUCUUAGUAUUGCAUUGAAUAUUAUUAGUCUUAUCGCUUUUGGCGGAAGGUUUUUUCAAGAUUUUACCAUUGAUUAGGUCGAUUCCUGGUGCUUUAUUAUUUUUUGUUUUCUCGAUUAAGUUUCUAAUUUCUUGUGCUGUUGUUUUAGGUAUGGUGUAGUGUUUGUCAGUUGCUUCUGGCCCAUGUGUUGUCUGCUUUUCUGAUUGCUGGGAUUCGUUUUAUUGGCUUCUUUAUUUUGUUCGUGACUUUCCAUAUAGGGUAGUUGGCAUUCCCGUGUGUCUCUAUGAGUUUUGAGAAUUCGUUAUUAUUAUGAUCUUUUAUUUUACUUUUUAUUUCCUUUGCGAGUUUGUUUAGGUAUUUUUUGUUUUCAUCUGUCCUAUGUUUUUGCCAUUUUGCUUUUGCUUUUCUUUUUCCUCUGGUUUUGUCAAAGAUGUCUGUUGGAAUUAUUUUUGUUUGCCUGUUGUUUGGUUCAUAAAUAGUAGUUGCCCACGCUGCUUCUUAUAUAAUUUCUGUCAAUAUUGCUACUACCUGUUCGAUGUUGUCGAAUGUUUUUGUUGGAACAUUGCAGUUGAUUUUGCUUUCAAUUAGUUCUUUAAACGUUUGCCAUUUGGUGGUUAUAUUGCAAAGCGACUCUGGAUUGCUGCAAAGUAUUGGUCUGCUUGUGUAUUCUAUUAUUAUCGAUGUAUGAUCGGAGAUAAGCUCAGAACUAGGUGUUAUUUUUAAUUUAUUUGCGUAUAGUCCUUUUAUAACUGCAAAAUCAAACAAGAAAGCAAUUUUGUUUAGAUCUGUCAGCCAGUAUGUUGGCCUUCCUGUGGAUAAUAUGUUGAGAUUACUAGUUCUAAUAUAUUUUUCUAGUGUUCUACCUCGAAGUGUAUUAAUUCUUAAGCCUCAUAGCGUGUGUUUUGUAUUGAAGUCUCCCGUAGCGAUGUAUUUGUCACCUAAGGAUUGAAAAUACUGUUCUCAUUUUUGAAAUGCCAUUUUAUGUCGCGGUGGUGUAUAUACUGCUGACAUCUGGAAGUAAUUGCUGUUAGUUUAUAUUUUAACGGUAGUUGCUUGAACGCGUCCCACACUAGUUUCAUUAUGUUAAUGGUGUUUGAUAUCGUUUCUUAUUAUCGCUGCAGUUCCUCCGUGUGCUUUUCCUGAGGGGUGUUUGGUAUCAUAGAUGGGGUAAUAUGGUAUUUUCAUGUAGCUUUUUGGUGUGAAAUGUGUUUCUGAAAUAAGUAAUAUUAUUGUUAUACAGAAUUGUUUUAGUUUCGAGGGCCCGUUGUUGUAGGCCAUUGGAGCUCCAAGCUUCUAUUUUCACUGUGUCCGUUUCCAUCUUUUACUUAACAUGUUUUUUUUUCGAGAUUUCCUCCUUUUAUGGCUCGGAGCACCUAUCCCUUCUUUGGGAAAUUCCGAAGUACCUGUCCUCUCCGAGCUGAUGACUCCGAGGUCAGGGAGAAACCCCCGGGAAAAACCCCAGGGAAACCCUCGGCCAGGAAGGCACGAUGGACGGAUGAGACUCAACGGCUGGUGGGGAGAAUCAGCGACAUACUAAGUCAGUCAUCAUCAGAGCGUCGUACCGUGCAGGUGAAAUACUUCAGUUUCAACAAGACUUUACCACCGUCGUGUCCAUAACAUCAAACUUUACUGUUAUAUAACAAGUGCAAAUAAGGUGCUAAAUUACACUAACACUCGAUCUAUUAAACCUCCUCCACCUUGAGCGUUAAGUCAUUCAAGGUACGCGAUAUCGACCGAUCGGUUUGACCUGACCGGUUGCUCUUUAGUUGAUAUUUCGCAACACAGUUCACGAAGUAGACUUAUGUGCAAAAACGAAUCAACAGAACAAUAUUUCCUGCAACGGAAACAUGAAUUCAAGCCUACAUUGACAAACGCAACUGUCAAACUAUUUGCCCAUGUAAAACAAAUUAUUGAAGCAGAUCUCGCCCAUGCUACUACUUUGAAUACAGUACACAAAGAAAGAACUAAUAAUAAUUUAUGCCGAUGGAAGAAAUUACAAUGACCAAGUAGAUAUAUGUGAAGACCAAUAGCAAAAGGCGGUUGCAAUGACGAAAAAUAUAAUCCUUAAUAGCAUUCAAAGUUUUAAUAUUCAACAGAAAGAUCAACUUAAAUCAAGUUCCGCAGUAAUUGAAAAAAAUAUAAAAAAUGAUGACAAUACGGAAGACAUCGUUUCUUACUAUAGGUGGACUAGAGCAAUGGCAAGUCGUUUAUUUUGAUAUUGCUCAUUGAAAAUACUUAACAUUACUAAUCCUACAGUAGCUACAACAAUAAAACUGUCGUUCAUUAAGGAAACGUUGUCAGCCGUUAAAUAUUCGGAAAAUAUUUGCAUUCCGUUUUCUGCUUGCCCAUUGAGGAAGGGAGGAAGGCACUGUUACAACCUAUCAGUCAAUGACAAGACAAAGACUUAAACAGGAGAGACGAAAGUGGCAUCAUAUAAGGUAGUUGAUUAUUGAUAAGAUCAUCAGAUAUCAAUUGUCUCUUACGAGAAUUUGUGAAUAAUCCAUUUAAGGCUGCAAGUGCUCAAGACCAAUGGAAAACUAUUUCGUAGCAUAGAAUAGCAUAUAAUACUUCUCUCUGGUGUCAUCAUGUAACUACCCUAAAAGGAAGUUGGUGUUUUGUACAACCACAAUGUGUACUACAGAGAUUAAUUUAUGGCACCAGUUUCAAUUCUGCAAAUUCAUCAUUAAUAUGAGACAAGAAGAUGAUACAUAGUUUAUUGGCCUAUUAAAUAACUUACGGUUUGCUGUAGUAACAAUUCUUCUAAUAGAAAUACUACUCUAGCUGGAGAGUUUAAGAAGGGCGCAGCAGUAAGAAUAUUACCGACAGUAAAAUUAAUGGACGAAUAUAACAUAAAAAUCAUUGAUAAAUUAACGAAAUUAAUUUAUAUGUACAUUAUUAAUUCAUUACACAAAUCUUAGGAAGUAACUACAUAUGGAGAAAGACCACUAGAAAACGUUAUUGCUAAAAAUAUAAAUAACAGUAGAGGAUUCUUGUAUAUAAUAACGUAAAUUGAGCGGUCAUAAGAGCGACAAAACAUGCCAAUUUUUGUAUGGUUUAAUAAAGGACGCAAUAGAAAUUGUAAAGAAAUUUACAUAGCCAACUCUUCGAAGAGAUCAGCUGGAAGAGGGAAAAUUGUCGGACUCAGUACUUAUAAAAUUUUACGAUGAAUCCAUUGGAAGCAGAUUCAAAGAUAUCGAUAGCUAGAUUCCGAUAUCUCCAGUAGAAAUAACAUUUUAGGUGACGAAAGCUAAUGAAGACACUGAACGAAGAAUGUUAUCGUUUACUCUAAGCUGGGUAGUAAUCAUACAUAAAUUACAAGGGACUACACUAAAUAGAGAUGUAAUUGAUCUUCCUAAAGAAAAUUUUGGAAAUAGCCAAGUCUACGUCACUCUUAGUCAUGUGAUAAGUUUAAACGGCCUAUCCGUAUCUAAUUUAGUACCAAACAAAAUUCUCAAUAAAACGCAUGACGAAAGAGCAUUUGUAGAAAUGCAAAGACUUCUUUCGUAAAGAAAGAGUUCUGGUCUAUUUCAUAUGAACAAUGUCUUUACACAUUACAAGAUGAAAUGUAAGCAUAUUUAAAACGAAGAAUUAGUAAUAAAAAAACACGGAUCAAAUUAGCUUUGAGCGACAAACCUAUGUGCAGAAAUGGACGAAGUAAGCUUCCAUAGAAAAUUUUACAAGGAAAUGGCCCAGUUUCAUCGCUUCCAGUGACAACGAUCAGACAUAACGAAAUGAUAUCAGUGAAUAAUGGGUAAUUUGCAACAACAAUAGUUAAGAAUGAAGAAAAUGAAUCAGUUUUUUAGUGGAACCAACAAGAAAACAUGCCCUACAAGAUGCAAAAAGAAUCAUCUCAAUUGAUCUAACCGUUCCGAAAAAAUCGGCGGAUAUACAUAAAAAAGAAAGAAAAAAAUACAAUAUACUCAUCGAAUUGAGAAAAAUGCCAUUUAAAUAGCCCUUUUUAACAUAUUAAAGCAUGAAAAAUGUGGCUAACCAAAUUGCUCACUAUUACCUUAAUUCAAUGAUGAAACUUUUUUAUUUACAAUUUUUUUCAAAUUAAACUUUUACUAACGUGUUUAUGAGAUUCUUCUAAUUAAAAUGAGAUCAAAGGCAAUAUACUUCAAAUCACACUUACAUACAUAUUUCAUAAAUGAAAAAAAUAAGUAAAUGUUAUUAAAUAAAUAGUACUCCAAGUUAUAUCCUGUCUUGUUUUUAAUUAUACAUUAGUAAAAGUUUUACUCAAAUGUUACGAAUUGAGAAUAUCAUUGUCCACCCGCUUUCUUUGAAACUUCUUCAAAAGACACUCAGAAAACAGAAGCGCCUUUUAGCUCAGACAUCCUUUAUUUAAAGCGAUACAGGAAAUAGAGCUGCGUUUGAACCAAUAGCCGUGACAAUUUCUGAACUAAAUUCAACCGUUUUUCAAAAAUCUUGAAGAGAUUCAUUUUUCCGAUAUGUGGACGUAAAUGGUAAAUCACAAACUCAGUAUCUAUCUCAUUUUAAUCGCUACUAUAGAAGCAAGUGCAUGUACUUUGAAUGAAAGUCGUACAGACUUUCGACAUCAUAGCUUAAACACUUUUAAACUCAAAAUUAACAAUUUUUUUCGUUAUAUGUUAUAAAUUUGUCAUAACAAAGUGAUUUUAUGAAGUUCCGUACAAAUCCACGAAGAAGUAGCUUUUCGACUAGAUCAUCUAACUUUUUCUAAGACGAAUCGUAACUACAUGCAGUUAAAGUAUAAAAAAUGCAUGAGGAAAAGUGUAUUUUAAAUACGAAUACAAGUUUCGGCCGUUAGCGCUCUAUUGGUGUAAAUGAAGGAUUGUAAUUUAAAUGCAUUAUGUUAUUACUUAUUACAAAUAUAAUCUUGUUGAAAAUGACAUCACAUCUCCCGCAUUACAUCGCUUGAAAUGAUAAAUUGAUAACAAUAAAGGAAUGUACUUCUACCUAGAAAAGUUACGUUAUUAUCGAAAUCUUUUUAAGUAUCUGUAGCGAUUAGCUGCACAAGCAAAAGAGGAAUUUCUUAUGCAAACAACUAGUACGGUUUAUGACACGAAAGCACCAAAGCUAUUUUUUAAAAAAUCGUUAGCUUUUAAUAAAUAACUUUCUGUAGUACAUGAUUUCGUUACAGUAUUUUUCGAUGGCCUCAAUAGCAAAUUAUUGGUGUCAUAAGUCGAGGUUUUUCCCGAGGGAUAUCAAUCCCAGACCGGAUGUCCAUAGUCGAUAACAUUCUGGCCUUGGGCCAGAAGGAAAUCUCGUUACAUUGCCAACUCCCGCCGUGAUCAUGGACAAAUACCGAUUGGCUAACUCCUCCUUUAGUUUUAGCCAAUUAAGAAUACUUCCAAAAAAUUUUCACGAACAAUAAAAGUGGGAAGCAAGGCAAAUAGCGUAGAGUCUCCGAUAAGUAUGGAGCAUUGACAUUUCAGUGUAGAAAUGAAGUAUUGCAAAACUAAACACUGUGAAUCAAUAUACAAUCGGCUGUGAACCGUCAUAAAAUACCUGACGUCUAACGAUAACGGUAUCUCUCACGAGAGCCACAGACGCAGAAGCAGUGUCAAUGAAAGUAUUAAUGACAACAAUGUUGAUAUUGCACAUACUUGCAUGGAUCUAAACCAACAACGAUGAAAUCAUGUUUAUCACAAUUAAUUGUGGAAUCACAAUUAAUCGAGAUUCAAGAAGAUAGAAUACUUCAACUUCAAAUAUAAUGGAAUCAAACCUAACUAUAUGCAAUAAACCUUACGCUAAUGCCCUAUCAAAGAAUAAGCCAUAAUCAUUCAAACAGCCAGCGAGAUCCGAUUAAGAAGAUUCCUUGAAAAUUGCCAUGAAGCUGCCCAUCCAUUACAGGUAGUAAAUGAUUAUACAGAAAACAUCAAGAAUAGAAUUUUUUUAUUAUUUAAUUUCUACUUUAUAAUUUGUCCAGCUGGACAUUUGGUAAAUUUUUCUAACUUAAUGAAGAAUAGAAUUGAGCGAAUCUGCGGAAAAACUUACGAAAAAAUCACCAAAAGAUAGUCACAUGAGUACUUGGACGUCAGAAAUCGAUACUGUCUUCGCAUAGGUUGCCAGCUAACAAAUAUAUCACAAUAAAUAAAACAAAUUGCACAAUUGUGAAAACGAUUAUACAAUUGAACUUAGAUGGAUACUACAGACUCUACGAAGAACUCCAAAUAAUCCGAAACUACACAACCCAGAUUUAUUAUGCCUGCAAGAAACAAACUUCAAGAAUAACCAUCAUUUUACAUUAAAACACUAUAACACCGUAAAGAAUAGAGAAAGCGGAAAAUGCAAUAAAUGCAAACAGCAAUAUCAAAUAAGCACCGUUCCAUCAAGAUUCCACUAUCUACGAAUCUAGAAACGGUAGAAAUCGCAAUAUCCUUCCCACAAAGUUCACAUUCUAUAAUAUCUAUAUUACAAACAAUUAUACCCUCAAACUUAAAGAUCUCGAAAAUUGAAUAGAAUAAAAUAGAAGAAUCGUAAUUUCAUAAUAAUAAAAGGCCAUUUUUUAACAAAUCAUUUCCUGACGAAUAUUUCGAUAAUUAUAAAAGAGAAAAUUACUUAUAUUCGAACGUUACGAUAUACAAGAUAUUAUUACUUAUCACAUACUUAUAUAGGAUGUCCGUGGUAAUUCUAGACACGGCUUAACAUAUAUAUAAUAUAUAUCUCUUUGUAUUGCAGAUACAAAAAGUGUUAUAUACGAAAAUUGUUUUUACGUAAUUAUUUUGCAGGAUAUAAAGAUCAAAUUAGUUUUUCUAGAAGUAACUAUUAUAUACUCUUCUGCAGACCAUUUCAUAGUGCUUUUCAAAACGAAUUCAUUAAUUUUUCAUCUAUACGACCAAUUUCAAUUAGCUUUUAAGAUACAACGUUUGCAAAUUUACUGAUUUUUACGGAAAAAAGUGCACUGGAAUAGGAAGCACGGAAUAUGAAUAGGAUGAAUCAUGUUCGCGGGGCAAGUGUCAAAUGUUUAAACAUUGCUUCUUGAAACAGAUACGAAUGAAUAAAUAUAUAUAUAUAUAUAUAUAUAUCAAGUAACAUAAUACAACAUUUCGCGCACCAUGGUGCUGAAUAUUAAUGCGAGUCAUUGUAUAUUACUGGGUUUUAAUUGGAGCGUUUUGCAGAAACGUUUGAAGCAAGAGAUUUUGGGAAAAAAUACAGCUCCUCCUUUGUUGGUUUCAUAUCGUAAUUAUAACGGUAAUUAGUCUGUACAGGUAAUGUUUCUGGAUUUUCAUUCAUGGUUAUCAAAUCCUUUAAUGCCGCAUCAUAAAUCAUAAAUCCGGGAGAUCAGUUUUUAACAUGAUUCAACUGGUAUUGAAUGCCACGUUUGGAAUCCAACAGCCCCCUCUCUGCAUAGUGUACGAAGUUUAAAAUUUAUUAACUGUUGAAGGAAAACUUCACAUCUUCUCUAAUGUUUAGUUUUUUUAGCCCUCGAAGCCAUUGAGUAUUGUUUAGCACUAAAUCAGUUUGAAGGGCCUCUCAGCCUCACAGCCUUUUCUGGGAACAUGCCUUGCACAGAUGAUGCAGCGGAGUACAGACAGGCCAGCUUUUUGUAAUUAUAUAAAUACCCAUAGGCCCAUGGAUUCGAAGCUUUUUUGUAAAAUAACGCUGUCAGCAUGCGGAUCUAGACUAGGAUACACAUUGUACUUAUACAUAAAUAUAUUUCUAUUAUACAUUCAUCUACGCAUUUCCUCUCUCUCUAUUACGAGAUAAAACCUUAACAUUAACUAAUAUCUGCUGUUAAGGUAUAUUACAUGUGUUAUGGAAAUAUAAUGUCUAUUAUUAAAUACGUUCAGAGAUUCUGAAAAUCAUUCAAUUAAUAAUAGAUAAUAAAUCUCAGGGAUUACAAUACUUAUUAAUACAAAUAUUCAUUUCUGCAGAGUGAUUAAUAUAUAACUAUUUGCAGAUUGAAAACAAAAGCGUCAAUGAUACACGUGAGUACACUCGUGUGAAGGACGUAAUACAUGGUCAGAUACGAACAGAUUGGAGUGACAACUCAAAGAAAACAGAUGAAAAUGAAAGAAAAGGACAUUAAAAGAGUGAAAAAAGGAAAGGAAGAUCCUAUUAUAGACCAGAGCAUAAUAAAAAAUAAAGGAAACUAGGGACUAAGGGACAGAGUGGAGGACUGACAAUAGAAAGGCAAAAACAUCAGAAUAAAUGGAGGAAAUGAAAAAACUCCAAAAUAAUGGUUUUCAGAAACGCGAGAGGAAAGUGGAAAAUAGAAAAAUAAUUUUGGGAAGGUGAAGGGUUGGGAAGGAGAAAAGUGGAGGAUCAAUAAAAGGAUUUAAAUAUCUAAAAUAUAUCUAAAUAAUUUGACUCAUUAAUUAAAAGUAUUAUGCUGCAUAGAGCAAAGAUAUGAGGCUGGGAAGUAUAAAACAGGCUGGAAAUGAUAAGGUAAGUAUUUAAGGUAAAUAUUUAAAAGGCAUAUUAAGAUUUAAUUGAAAUAUCUGCAAAUCCUUAUUUUUUAUGAACGCAAUGGGAGAGAUGGAACCUAAGUAAAGAUUUGUUUGAUCCAUCAAUAACUAUACUUGACUUAUUUACAUAUGGGAUAUUCCGUUGUAUGUGAGAAAUAGAUGGAAUAAAUUGAGCACACUAAUUUUUAGAUUAUUAGUUAUGGGGACAUUUAAAAUCUGUUGUUCAUGAAACGUUAGUUAACAAUGUUGAACUCUUCAUCAAUAUGAUGAUUAAAGUUGCAGGCAAAUCCAUGUAGCCUGUUCAAAAAAGUUUGACAGUCUACGAUGUAAUGUAUUCAAGCCUCUAUUAAAGCUGUAAUCAUUUUGAGCAAUUAUCCUGAAGGUAGGCAAGCAACCAUUACAAGACAAAACAAGCUUUUACUCGAAAGCAAGAUGAUAUCAGACAUAUAUGUUUAUACAUAUGUUUAUAUAAUAUGAACAUUUUUUCUUAUUUUAGUAUUCUGAAUCUGCCCCAGCUAUGUCUCCCAUAUCGAAACUGAGGAAGAUUUAUCUUUGUAAGCCGAUAUGUAAAUAUUUUAAUAAAGAUAUAAUUAAAAAUAAAAGAUAUGAUUUGAAUUUUUUGUGUUGAUCUGGUGAAUUUUAUUUUAUUUUCCAUAUCUAGGUUUUAAACACACACAACAAAAUAUUCUGUAAUUUUGUAUAUCAUUCAUGUCCUGUAUAUUUUCUCGACUUCCAAAAACUGCAUAAAUAUUCAAUUAGAAAUAUUCAAUAGACUGUUAAUAAUAUGUCAUAUGUACAAGUAUAAUCUUUAUAACGUUUCACAUACUAUGGUUUCAUUAUUUCAUUUAAUUACAUAGGAUGUAUCGUGUUAUACAUACAUUAAAAAAUU